rnacentral:rRNA from 1 species
UCAGAUUGAACGCUGGCGGCAGGCCUAACACAUGCAAGUCGAGCGGUAACAUUUCUAAGCUUGCUUAGAAGAUGACGAGCGGCGGACGGGUGAGUAAUGCUUGGGGAUCUGCCUGAUGGCGGGGGACAACCACUGGAAACGGUGGCUAAUACCGCAUAAUACCUAUGGGUCAAAGUGUGGGACCUUCGGGCCACACGCCAUCAGAUGAACCCAAGUGAGAUUAGCUGGUUGGUAAGGUAACGGCUUACCAAGGCGACGAUCUCUAGCUGGUCUGAGAGGAUGAUCAGCCACACUGGGACUGAGACACGGCCCAGACUCCUACGGGAGGCAGCAGUGGGGAAUAUUGGACAAUGGGGGCAACCCUGAUCCAGCCAUGCCGCGUGUGUGAAGAAGGCCUUCGGGUUGUAAAGCACUUUCAGUGGUGAGGAAGGUGGUGUCGUUAAUAGCGGCAUCAAUUGACGUUAGCCACAGAAGAAGCACCGGCUAACUCCGUGCCAGCAGCCGCGGUAAUACGGAGGGUGCGAGCGUUAAUCGGAAUUACUGGGCGUAAAGCGCACGUAGGCGGUAUGUUAAGCAAGAUGUGAAAGCCCAGAGCUCAACUCUGGAGUAGCAUUUUGAACUGGCAUGCUAGAGUUUUGGAGAGGGUGGUAGAAUUUCCAGUGUAGCGG